rnacentral:rRNA from 1 species
UCGAGCGGUAGCACAGGUGAGCUUGCUCCCUGGGUGACGAGCGGCGGACGGGUGAGUAAUGUCUGGGAAACUGCCUGAUGGAGGGGGAUAACUACUGGAAACGGUAGCUAAUACCGCAUAACGUCGCAAGACCAAAGAGGGGGACCUUCGGGCCUCUUGCCAUCAGAUGUGCCCAGAUGGGAUUAGCUAGUAGGUGGGGUAAUGGCUCACCUAGGCGACGAUCCCUAGCUGGUCUGAGAGGAUGACCAGCCACACUGGAACUGAGACACGGUCCAGACUCCUACGGGAGGCAGCAGUGGGGAAUAUUGCACAAUGGGCGCAAGCCUGAUGCAGCCAUGCCGCGUGUGUGAAGAAGGCCUUCGGGUUGUAAAGCACUUUCAGCGAGGAGGAAGGUGGUGAACUUAAUACGUUCAUCAAUUGACGUUACUCGCAGAAGAAGCACCGGCUAACUCCGUGCCAGCAGCCGCGGUAAUACGGAGGGUGCAAGCGUUAAUCGGAAUUACUGGGCGUAAAGCGCACGCAGGCGGUUUGUUAAGUCAGAUGUGAAAUCCCCGGGCUCAACCUGGGAACUGCAUUUGAAACUGGCAAGCUAGAGUCUCGUAGAGGGGGGUAGAAUUCCAGGUGUAGCGGUGAAAUGCGUAGAGAUCUGGAGGAAUACCGGUGGCGAAGGC